rnacentral:rRNA from 1 species
UCCGUAGGCGGGCAAUUAAGUCAGAGGUGAAAUCCCACAGCUCAACUGUGGAGCUGCCUUUGAUACUGGUUGUCUUGAGUUAUAGUGAAGUAGAUAGAAUAUGUAGUGUAGCGGUGAAAUGCAUAGAUAUUACAUAGAAUACCGAUUGCGAAGGCAGUCUACUAACUGUAUACUGACGCUAAUGGACGAAAGCGUGGGGAGCGAACAGGAUUAGAUACCCUGGUAGUCC